UAGUGCAAUGUGAAAAGGGCAUU
rnacentral:miRNA from 1 species